rnacentral:rRNA from 1 species
GGGCGCAUUAGGUAGUUGGUGGGGCAACGGCCCACCAAGCCGACGAUGCGUAGGGGUUCUGAGAGGAAGGUCCCCCACAUUGGAACUGAGACACGGUCCAAACUCCUACGGAAGGCAGCAG